UAUGGGAGGCAGCAGUGGGGAAUAUUGCCCAAUGGGCGAAAGCCUGAUGCAGCGACGCCGCGUGAGGGAUGACGGCCUUCGGGUUGUAAACUCUUUCAGCAGGGAAGAAGCGAAAGUGACGUACUGCAGAGAGCCCGCAAC
rnacentral:rRNA from 1 species